rnacentral:rRNA from 1 species
ACUACCGGGGAGCAGCAGUGGGGAAUAUUGGACAAUGGGCGAAAGCCUGAUCCAGCCAUGCCGCGUGUGUGAAGAAGGCCUUCGGGUUGUAAAGCACUUUCAGUGGGGAAGAAAGCCUUGGGGCUAAUACCCUCGAGGAAGGACAUCACCCACAGAAGAAGCACCGGCUAACUCCGUGCCAGCAGCCGCGGUAAUACGGAGGGUGCGAGCGUUAAUCGGAAUUACUGGGCGUAAAGCGCGCGUAGGCGGUCUGAUAAGCCGGUUGUGAAAGCCCCGGGCUCAACCUGGGAACGGCAUCCGGAACUGUCAGGCUAGAGUGCAGGAGAGGAAGGUAGAAUUCCCGGUGUAGCGGUGAAAUGCGUAGAGAUCGGGAGGAAUACCAGUGGCGAAGGCGGCCUUCUGGACUGACACUGACGCUGAGGUGCGAAAGCGUGGGUAGCAAACAGGAUUAGAUACCCGAGUAGUC